rnacentral:misc_RNA from 1 species
GAAGAGUUGAAAAACUCCGAAACCCACUGUGAACCUACCUAUGUCGUUGCUUCGGCGGGCGGCCCCAGGGCGGGGCCUUCUAUAUCGCCCGCUGACGGCCCCUAUAAACUCUUGUUUUUUUUAAAAGCACUCUGAGGAACAUUCAAUGAAUUAAA